rnacentral:rRNA from 1 species
CAACGAGUCGCAAGCUCGCGAGAGUAAGCUAAUCUCUUAAAGCCGUCUCAGUUCGGACUGUAGGCUGCAACUCGCCUACACGAAGUCGGAAUCGCUAGUAAUCGCGGAUCAGCAUGCCGCGGUGAAUACGUUCCCGGGCCUUGUACACACCGCCCGUCACACCAUGGGAGUUUGUAACGCCCAAAGUCGGUGGCCUAACCUUUAUGGAGGGAGCCGCCUAAGGCGGGACAGAUGACUGGGGUGAAGUCGUAACAAGGUAAC